rnacentral:rRNA from 1 species
GAUGAACGCUAGCUACAGGCUUAACACAUGCAAGUCGAGGGGUAACGAGAGGAAAGCUUGCUUUCCUUGUCGACGACCGGCGCACGGGUGAGUAACGCGUAUCCAACCUGCCCCCAACUAGGGAAUAACCUUGCGAAAGUAAGACUAAUACCCUAUAAUUUCCUCAGAUGUCAUCUGACGAGGAAUAAAGAUUUAUCGGUUGUGGAUGGGGAUGCGUCUGAUUAGCUUGUUGGCGGGGUAACGGCCCACCAAGGCAACGAUUAGUAGGGGUUCUGAGAGGAAGGUCCCCCCCAUUGGAACUGAGACACGGUCCAAACUCCUACGGGAGGCAGCAGUGAGGAAUAUUGGUCAAUGGGCGGAAGCCUGAACCAGCCAAGUAGCGUGCAGGAUGACGGCCCUAUGGGUUGUAAACUGCUUUUAUACAGGAAUAAAGUUAGCCACGUGUGGUUAUUUGUAGGUACUGUAUGAAUAAGGACCGGCUAAUUCCGUGCCAGCCGCCGCGGUAA